rnacentral:lncRNA from 1 species
UGAUUGGCUUGCUGGGCACCUAUGACUGGCAAUCUCCCACUUGACCUAAAGCCAAUCACCUAUGUGUCUGAUCCCCAUCAGACCCCUGUGACGCUCAAAGACAAUCUGAGACAACGACUUUGUCAGUGGAUCUGCAAUGUUAUCUUCGGAUGGAACUCUUUCCACUGCUACAUCUCCUCGGGUUACGAUCUCUCUGAUAAGUUGGAACCUCCUCAGAACACUUCUGAUGAGACCCGGGUUCCCUUAUUUGAGUAAUCGCCCCAUAGUUAUCGCAAUAUAAGGAAGUCGACUUCUCG